rnacentral:rRNA from 1 species
GGGGACUCCGAGUGCGGGGGCAUAUAGUCCUCGCUUUUGAGAACCGUAAGGCGGUUCUCGAAUAAGAGCUGGGCAAGACCGGUGCCAGCCGCCGCGGUAAUACCGGCAGCUCAAGUGAUGGCCAAUCUUAUUGGGCCUAAAGCGUCCGUAGCUGGCCACGAAAGUCCGUCGGGAAAUCCAUCUGCCCAACAGAUGGGCGUCCGGCGGAAACUUCGUGGCUUGGGACCGGAAGGCUCGAGGGGUACGUCCGGGGUAGGAGUGAAAUCCCGUAAUCCUGGACGGACCGCCGAUGGCGAAAGCACCUCGAGAAGACGGAUCCGACAGUGAGGGACGAAAGCUAGGGUCUCGAACCGGAUUAGAUACCCGGGUAGUCCUAGCCGUAAACAAUGUUCACUAGGUGUGGCACAGGCUACGAGCCUGUGCUGUGCCGUAGGGAAGCCGAGAAGUGAACCGCCUGGGAAGUACGUCCGCAAGGAUGAAACUUAAAGGAAUUGGCGGGGGAGCACUACAACCGGAGGAGCCUGCGGUUUAAUUGGACUCAACGCCGGACAUCUCACCAGCUCCGACUACAGUAAUGACGAUCAGGUUGAUGACCUUAUCACGAGCUGUAGAGAGGAGGUGCAUGGCCGCCGUCAGCUCGUACCGUGAGGCGUCCUGUUAAGUCAGGCAACGAGCGAGACCCACACAUCUAAUUGCCAGCAGCAGUUCCGACUGGCUGGGUACAUUAGAUGGACUGCCAGUGCCAAACUGGAGGAAGGAAUGGGCAACGGUAGGUCAGUAUGCCCCGAAUGAGCUGGGCUACACGCGGGCUACAAUGGCCAGAACAAUGGGUUGCUAUCUCGAAAGAGAACGCUAAUCUCCAAACGGAGUCGUAGUUCGGAUUGCGGGCUGAAACCCGCCCGCAUG